AUUCCAGCUCCAAUAGCGUAUAUUAAAGUUGUUGCAGUUAAAAAGCUCGUAGUUGGAUUUCUGGGCUGAGCGACCGGUCCGCCGCUGUGCGGUGUGUACUCGUGUUCGACUCGGCUCAUCCUUGUGGGGAAACGCAUUUCGGCAUUAGGUUGUCGAGGCGGGGAACCGCAUCGUUUACUGUGAAAAAAUUAGAGUGUUUAAAGCAGGCAAAUUGCUGUGAAUACAUUAGCAUGGAAUAAUAACAUAGGGCUUUGGUUCUAUUUUGUUGGUUGGAGGCCAAGGUAAUGAUUAAUAGGGAUAGUUGGGGGUGCUAGUAUUGGCCGGCCAGAGGUGAAAUUCUUGGAUUCGGUCAAGACUAACUUAUGCGAAAGCAUUCACCAAGGAUGUCUUCAUUG
rnacentral:rRNA from 1 species